AAAUGAAUAGACGGGGGCCCGCACAAGCAGUGGAGUAUGUGGUUUAAUUCGAAGCAACGCGAAGAACCUUACCAGGUCUUGACAUCGUGUGCAUAGUGCAGAGAUGCAUGAAGUCUUUCGGGACACACAGACAGGUGGUGCAUGGUUGUCGUCAGCUCGUGUCGUGAGAUGUUGGGUUAAGUCCCGCAACGAGCGCAACCCUUACUGAUAGUUACUACGCGAAGAGGACUCUAUCGGGACCGCCGUUGACAAAACGGAGGAAGGUGGGGAUGACGUCAAAUCAUCAUGCCCUUUAUGACCUGGGCUACACACGUACUACAAUGGCCAUUAACAGAGGGGACCGAAGUCGCGAGGCGGAGGGAAUCCCAAAAAAUGGUCUCAGUUCGGAUCGCAGGCUGCAACCCGCCUGCGUGAAGUCGGAAUUGCUAGUAAUCGCGGAUCAGCAUGCCGCGGUGAAUACGUUCCCGGGCCUUGUACACACCGCCCGU
rnacentral:rRNA from 1 species